GUGGGGAAUUUUGGACAAUGGGCGCAAGCCUGAUCCAGCCAUGCCGCGUGUCUGAAGAAGGCCUUCGGGUUGUAAAGGACUUUUGUCAGGGAAGAAAAGGCUGUUGCUAAUACCGACAGCUGAUGACGGUACCUGAAGAAUAAGCACCGGCUAACUACGUGCCAGCAGCCGCGGUAAUACGUAGGGUGCGAGCGUUAAUCGGAAUUACUGGGCGUAAAGCGAGCGCAGACGGUUACUUAAGCAGGAUGUGAAAUCCCCGGGCUCAACCUGGGAACUGCGUUCUGAACUGGGUGACUAGAGUGUGUCAGAGGGAGGUAGAAUUCCACGUGUAGCAGUGAAAUGCGUAGAGAUGUGGAGGAAUACCGAUGGCGAAGGCAGCCUCCUGGGAUAACACUGACGUUCAUGCUCGAAAGCGUGGGUAGCAAACAGGAUUAGAAACCCUAGUAGUCC
rnacentral:rRNA from 1 species